CCUACGGGGCGCAGCAGUGGGGAAUAUUGCACAAUGGGGGAAACCCUGAUGCAGCGACGCCGCGUGAGUGAAGAAGUAUCUCGGUACGUAAAGCUCUAUCAGCAGGGAAGAAAAAAAGUCUUUGGCUUUGGACGGUACCCGACUAAGAAGCCCCGGCUAACUACGUGCCAGCAGCCGCGGUAAUACGGAGGAUGCGAGCGUUAUCCGGAUUUAUUGGGUUUAAAGGGUGCGUAGGCGGAAUGCCAAGUCAGCAGUAAAAUCGCGGGGCUCAACCUCGCUCCGCCGUUCAAACUGGCGUUCUUGAG
rnacentral:rRNA from 1 species